UUGAUUUUGUGGUUUUCUUUUUUCAACACUGAGUAUGUUAUGUUGUGCUAUUGCUACUGUAAUUAUCUGGUUUUGCUGGAUCUCAGAUUGACACAGGCAAACUUGGAUGCCUGCCUUCCUUGAACUGUGGUUUAUUUGUUUGUGAGAUACAUUGUGGUGAGACAAUGACAGCUCUCUCUCUCUCUCUCUCUCUCUCUCUCUCUCUCUCUCUCUCUCUCUCUCUCUCUCAUAUUUAUUGGUGAUUGCUGUGAUGAGCUCCAUGUCUGGACUUGAGACUUGUGCUUCACUCACUGCUCUAGUCUGCUCUGUCAUCACAUUUCAAAGUGUACUCAGUCAAAAUGUGGCUGAAGUUGCUCUAGUUGAACUUAUGACUAUGCUUGCUGCUAAAGGUGCUGCUGUGGCAGUUGUUGGUUGGAAUGUAAGAAGUCAUAGCUGUGGUGGCUAUGUGGUAGCUACCAGCAAUGGUAGGAAUGUAAGAAGUCAUAUCUGUGAGUGAGAGAGCAAUUUGUGCCAAUGAUGUUACUGCAGUGCAGGCAUUGUGACUGGCAGUGGAUUCUGGGUCAGUGAUUCUUUUUUAGCCAUUUUUUUGACUGGGUUUGAAAUGUGUGUUCUGUGCUGGGAGGGACAGAUUCCCUUUUACUGUGUGCUUCUCUGGUGCUUUUCAAGGUAGUGUUGCAAAAUGCAUUGUAAUGCAAAACUUGUGUGUGAAUUCUGAGCAUACAGCUUGUUCCGGCCAUAGGGAACAAUGGGGAAACUCUAAAUACCCCAUUGUUCUAAGGACACCAAUAUAGCUUGUAUGGUAGGACAUGGUGGAUGCUACCUACCACCCAACCCACAAAAGAAAUGGGCAAGCGGACAAUUUUAAUCUAACCUUUUCCCCAAACCCCCGUAGUGUGGAAAAGUUUAAAAUGUGUUUAAAAUAUCCUGCUUGCCCAUUUCUUUUGUGGGUUGGGUAGUAGGUAACACCCAUCAUGCCCUACCACACAACCUACAUUGGUGUCCCUAGGAGCUACUCAUGUGGAACAAGCUUGAAACAAAACACAAAAUCCAUUUCAUGCUCUCUCCCUGCCAAAUAUAAGAUAAUCGCUACUUUUAAAAGUGCCUCUUUGUUCAGUUAGCAGGGGUGAUGUCCUUAUACUCUGAUAUUAUUCUGAGUUUGGGGAAGGGUUUGGGGGAAGGGAUUUUCAUGGCUUUUGCUGAAGUUGUUUAGUUAAAAUCCUUUCCAGUAUUGAUCCACUACCACAACCCACUUAUUUAUUUUUCCUCAGCACAUUGGGGGUUUACCUUUGCUGUAGCUGGAGCAAUUAAUUUCAAAUCUUCUUUCCAAACAAGCGGAACUAUUACCUCUCCUUUAUACCCUUUUCCUCAGAAGAUGGGCAACUAUGGCAUCAUUUCCUGGGGUAAACUCUUUUAUUUGGAGAAAUGCAGCUUACACAAAGUGGAGGUGAUUGCUGCACUGAAAACUACAGCAACGGGCAGACAUAUUAGUGAUGGAGCCAAGAAAAUGUGCAUGAAUAAGAUAUCUAGACAUGAAAAUGAAUAGAGUCAUGAAACUAUGUUUUUCUUGCACAUUGCAUCCUUCUUUUACUAAUUCCUUCUUCACUUUGUGAGGCUUGGAUACUUCAACAGAGAUUCAUUUGCCUCCAUCACUUCAGACUCACUAACCCACAGUCAUCUCAACCUCUCCUGUACUCCUCCAUCAUUAGGAGCCAAUCAGGAGUGUAGCUAGGGGAGAAGGGGCCUGAGUUCGCCCCUCUCCUUGGCAGCCCUCAGAGCAAGAGAGAUAAUGAAGAAAAUAGGGGAGUGGAGCUGGGGGGCCCUCAGGAGCUCAGGCCCCCAGGUUUUUUUUUUAACCCAUCCACUCAAUUAAUUAUGUAGCAAUUAUGUAGUAUACAAUUAUGUAUCCAUCUCCAUUGUGACAUCCAAAUGCAAUGUCAGUUCCCAGUGCAUUCUGGGAAAGAGAAUGGAACUGACAGUUGGGAGAUGAGCAGGCUACCAGUAGAACAGUGGUGCUCUGAGCACCACUGCCAUUGUCUGCAUUGAUAUUGCCUUUUUCAAGGCUUAAGCAAGAAAACACCCUGCCCCAUCUUCACAAUUACAAACAGUUGUGUACCACCACCCCCUGGCCAGGUACAGAAUCUCCCCACUCAUUUUUGCCACCAGCCUUAAUUCAGAUCUGUUGGAGUUAGGACCCUGGCAGCAUCAGCUCUCAGCUGCAAUGUCUCAUAGUGACCACUGGGGGGUUUUAGGGUCAUGGAUAAAAGUGCUGGACUCUUCCCUUCUUUGUUCUUCCAGGGUUAGUUCCCAUUUUGUCUCUCCAGAGAUGGCUGUUUGUUUUGGUCUCUCUCUUCAGCCAUGAGCUACAGCUGAAAUUUAGCUGCAGGCCUUUUCACAUUUGUUUGUAACCUUUUCUUUAAAUCAAUCCUUGUAGUUCUUCAGUACUAAAGAACUGGCUCAAGACUUCUUGCUUUGUUGCUUUCUCACCAAACUGGUUUUGCUUUGCUAUUUUGGGAUCGAACUGCCAUUCUUCCCCUAGGAAGGGUUAUGGGCCCAGAAGCCUGUAAAUAAAAGAGAAAAGCCUAGAGAGUUAAAUAGAAAGUAAAGCAAAGAGGGAAAGCUUUGAAAAUGGAGACAGCACAAGGAUUCCAGAUGAGUGAAAAAUUGCAAGAUCCUGAGUAUGAGCUCUGGUCUUUCAAGAUGGAGAUGCUCCUCAAGAGUAAUGGACUUGGCAGUGUUCUGCACACCCAGUGUCCUGCAGUUGCAGGAAAACAGCAGGAGGAAUAGGACAGAGCAGAUGAAAAGGCAUCAGGAAUUAUUUGCUUGGUGGAAAGUGACCCAAUCUCAGUGCAUCUAAGAGACAAAGAAAAUGCAAAGAAUAAGUGGGAAACUCUGAAGGAGUUAUAUAAAAAGAAGUAUGUGGUUUCCAAAGUGCAUCUAGUAAGAAAACUGAGCAAUAAAAGACUUAGAGAAUGAUAAAGUCUGUCCAAACACAUAAAUGCAAUGUUAGAAAUAUCUAGGCAACUGCAAGCUCAACAAGUAAUCAUGCCAGAUGUAAGUUUGAUAGGAUUGCUGUUGAAUAGUUUGAUAUUGAUAGUGUGUCUAGUGCCUUGGAAGUCAAGGAGGAUGCAGGCUUACAAUUUGUAAUUAACCAUCUAGAGGAUUUUGAUUUGUGCAGAAGGGAUGAUAGGCAACCAAAGGGAAGUGAAAAUGCAUUUAGAACCUUACAAAGAAAUAAGAAAUGCUUUAUUUAUGGAAGCCCAAACACUUGCAGAAUAAGUAUCCCAAGAAUAAAGGGUUUGCAGACAAAAGGCAAGCAAAACAAAGUUGCAAAGAGAUUGAGUCAUCUGAGAACACAGAGUACAGAAUUUACAAGCAAUCGGGGACUAAAGCUAAUAAGCAAAGGAUAUACCUUGCAAGAACAGAUAAAGUUUUGGAAGCUAAGUCUGAGAAAUGCAGUGGCUACAAGCAACCUGAUUAGAGAAAGUUUGGGGGAAAGCCACAGAUCCUCGACACUGACAAUGGUGGUGAAUACACUGGGAAUGAUGUCAUAAGAUUCCUAAAGGAGGAGGGUAUUGAACACCAAAAGACUGUUCCACAUACUUGGGAGGAAAAUUGAGUAGUGGAAAGAAAGAACCAUUCUCUUAUGGAAAUGACAAGAUGCACAUGAGUUAUGGCAUGGCAUAACUUUGAGUCAUAUAAGAGUGUUUGGAUCUAAAGCAUACACCUAUGUAUGAUUUAUAUACAAAGCCAAAAGGACCAAAUUCAGCUGUAGAUCUGAGGAAGGAAUACUUGUUGGCUAUUCCAUAGGAUGUAAAGUAUGUAGAAUUUUAGAUCUUGCCACAGAAACAAUAAAAAUAUGCAAUGUAGCAUACUUCAGUGAAAAUUAAAAACCAACCACUAGUGAACUGCCAAACUUAGAGUCCAAUUUUCAGUUGGGGAAAGAAUCAAGGCAAUAUGACCAAAAGGAAAGAUCCACUCUAAGUUUUACACCUGGCAGUGAUUCAGUAGAAGAAGAUGCUGAUGACGAACAAAAGGUACAGCAUUCAACACAACAAAAUAAAGGAGUUCUGCCUAAGAAACCUUCCUAUAUUGCAAAGGGAGAAAAGUUUCAUAAACCAAGCACGUGAAUAUAAAAUGAUAACAUACCUGCAACUGAAGAACAAAACUGGAAGGAAGCUGCGAAAGAAGAAAUGGAAUCAUUGCACAAAAACAACACAUGGACACUCACAGAGCUACCUGAGGGAAGAAAGACUGUGGGGUGCAAGUGGAUUUUUAAAAAUUGCAGAAGGAGAUGUCUAGAGUUACAAAGCGAGACUGGUGGCAAAGGGAUUCUUGCAGAUAUAUGGGGAAGAGUAUGAUGAGACAUUUGCCCCUGUUGUAAAACACACCUCAGUAAGUCCACUCCUAAGUAUUUCAGUAGCAAAGAAUAUGCAAGUGGAUCUCACGAAAACUGCAUUUCUUCAUGGAGACAUCAAAGAAGAUAUUUAUAUGGAGCAGCCUCCAGGAUUUGUGGAACCUGGUAAAGAAAAACUUGUAUAUAAGCUGCAGAAAAAUAUUUAUGGACUAAAGCAGGCUGCAAGAGCCUGGAGUGUCAAAUUAAACCAGUUGCUAGUCACCGAUAGUUUUACCCAAGGAAAGGCUGACCCUUGCCUGUACUCGAGGCUCAAAGACAACAGAUGGACCUAUAUACUUACGUGCGAUGAUGAUCUGAUAAUUUGUUAUGAAAAUAGAGAGAACAGCCUUGAAAUAAUAAAGCACCUGGAUAGUGAGAUAGAAGUAAAAGAACUUGGGCCUGUUUCACACUAUCUUGGGAUAAACAUAGAGAGAGAAGAGGGUGGGAGCUAUUUGCUUACCAAAAACAGAAAAUAAAUGAUUUAUUAAAGUAUUUGGAACUUACAGAGGCCAAAGAAAUGAGUACACCUAUGGAAACAGGUUACCUAAAACAGAAGGAAGAGAGUGAACUUCUGCCAGACAACAGUGAGUACAGGACAGCGAUGGGAAAACUUUUAUAUGUAGCUACAGUAUGAUAACAAGACCAGAUAUAGCAACAUCUGUAGGAAUCUUGAGUAGGAAAGUAAGUACACCCAGCAAAGAUGACUGGACUGCAGUGAAGAGACUAGUCGGGUACCUAAAAGGGGAAAUCCAUCUAAAAUUAAAGUUACCUACUAGUAGUAGACCCAAAUCAGUUGGUUAUAUGGAUACAGGCUGGGCUGAGGAUCAAACAGACUGGAAGUCAACCAGUGGUUAUGUAUUAUUUUAUGGUGGUGGAGCAGUCAGUGGGCGUAGCUGAAAGCAAUCCGUAGUUGCUCUCUCAUCUACUGAGGCAGAAUAUGUAUCUGUUACUCAAGCAUGUCAAGAGGUGGUGUGGCUGCACAAGCUAAUGUCAGAUUUCAAUAUAGAUAACCAAAACCCACUGAGAUGUAGGGAUGUUCACGGAACUGCACGGGGGAGGCUUGAAGGCGGCAGGGGUGCUGCUUUAAGAGUGGGAGAGGAUGCACUUACCCCUCCCACCACUUUCCCCCUGCCGGCAUCCAUUUUAGUCAAAUCCCAUCAGGACAGCAGCGUACCUCCCUGCCGCCCCAUUGCCCCUGUUGUCCAGAUAUGAACAAAAGUAUCCGACACGCCUGUGUGCGCAGAUGUGGUCAAGCACAUGUCGGGCAUGCACAGGUGCAUUGGAUACUUACAGUCAUAUCUGGGCAAUGGGGCGGCAAUGUCUCAUAGUGACCACUGCAGGGGUGGGAUUAGGUUCAUGGAUAAAAGUGUGGGACUCCUUCCCUCUUUGUUCUUCCAGGGUUAGUCUCCAUUUUGUCUCUCCAGAGAUGGCUGUUUGUUUUGGUCUCUCUCUUCAGCCAUGAGCUACAGCUGAAAUUAAGCUGCAGGCUUUUCCACAUUUGUUUGUAACCUUUUCUUUAAAUAAAUCCUUGUAGUCCUUCAAUACUAAAGAACUGUCUCAAGACCUCUUGCUUUGCUGCUUUCUCUUCAAACUGGUUUUGCUUAGCUAUUUGGGGACUGAACUGCCAUUACCUACAAAAUCCUCCUCUGAGUAACAUGGACUUCAUCUUAUGAAAAAGCAGAAGUUCACACACACAGCCCCCAUCAAAUAUAUAACAGAACAUAUGAUAUGGGCAUUCCAUGUGGAAACCUGUACAUGCAGAUGUCAAUCUCUGGAAUCCUGAUUUCAGCAAUCCACACACACACCCCUAUUUUUUGAGGGGUGGAGGAAGAAUCAUGUGAACCGACUGACUGAGAAUACUGUCAUUGCUUGGGUGAGUAAGCUGGAACAGAAAAGUGCUUAUGUCAGGGAGGGGGACUAUUUUGUGGGAAAUGAAGGCUGCACCCCAAAUUUCUUGGUGUGGCUUUAAUUUCCCUGUUCCACUGACUCUCUUCUUGUAUUUUAACUUGGAGAAACCAAGAGAGAGAGAGAGAGAGAGAGAGAGAGAGAGAGAGAGAGAGAGGUCACAAGUAUCUUUAUUAGGCCCACCAUGUUUUGGAAAAAUCCUUUUAAAAGGGAUUUUUUAAAAAAUAAAAAAAAUGCAGUGGGCCUAGUAUCGAUACCUGUGAGGCACCUGAGGGCUCCCUGCCCUUCUUUGUUUCUUCGGUGGUGCCCCCCAACCCUCCUUUUUCCUUCUGUUUUUCAAUCUGCCAUUCAUACACAAUUAUUUCAAAAUAUCUUUGAAUUCUUGCUGAAGAUGCAACCAUUGUGAAACCUAAGCGACAAAUGGAAGAAACAUUUAUCCUUGAUGAGUGUAUCCCCCAUCAGUAAAACAUCAAAUGGUUAUCAACUCCAAGCUUCUGUGCUGAAGAAAUGGCAUACACCCAAGAGAGACAGUCUGGCAGAAUCCUUUGCCACAGCUGCAGGAGAAGAAGGUUGUCUUCAUGCCCUGUUUUUGAGGCUUCCUCGAAGCAUCUGGUUGGUGGGAUACAGGGUCCUGACUAGAUGGACAUUUGGUCCAGACUAGCAGGGCUGUUCUUGCAAUCAUUACUUUAGGUGUUCCCACCACUGAAGUUUUUAGAACAGCUUUAGGAACUUAAUUGUGUGUGAAUAUCAUUCUGCUCCAUCCGUGCACAUCACAUGUUUGGACUUCUGAUCAAAGUCUUUAAAUUCUCAGCACUAUUGAGUUGCAUCAGUCAUUUGAAAGGGACAAGACUGGAUAUCAUAGACCAGAAGUGGCAACCUGUUAUCCAGAUCUAGCCUUCUAGCUCAUUAUGUUGAGGAGACUGCUUACAAUCUAGGAAGAGAAUUCCGUGCCAUUUCCAACCUUGUAGUCUGUAUGACUUUUCAGUCCUACAUGAAAUUAAUUGCCCAUCAGAAUUCAAAAAUCAAAUUCUUGCGUGAAAUUGUACCUGCAGCCCCAGCUCUUGCCUGAUGUCUCUUUGUGCUAAAUUUUGGAUGUGUGCAAAACACUGUUAGAAGCAGGAAACUCCUGUAAGUUUCACAGUCAUCAACUUAAGGAGCAAAUAUUAUUGCAUGUAAUCUAUUGAUGAUUUGGUACACAUCAAGGAUAUUUUAGUCUAACUUUGAACUGCUGCUAGCUUUACCUUUAUGAGAACGAAGGCAGCCAUUCUACCAAUUCCUAAGAGAGGUUUGUACCUGAUAAUGGAUGGCAACGCAGAUUUUUUCAAGCAGAUGGAUAGAUCCUUAGUUUUGCCUAUGUUCAUUAUGCAUUUUAUGGCAAUUGUAAAUUAAGGAGCAAAAUGAUUUCUUCAAAGUCAGAACAAUAAUAAACAAAAUUGCAUUUGAUAUAUUCCCUUUACUUGUUUUGUUUUCUCUGUGAACUGUUUCUCUGUUCCCUGUCAGAAUCACUUGCUCACCAAUAUUUCAUUUCUUGCAGUAUUGAUGUCCAUUGAUCUUACGGCAAGUUCAUUUACCUGGGUGUCUUUCUCCACAUAGACAACUCUAGCUGUUUGCAGUUUGACCUUCCCAUGCAUGGAUGGCUGGUUUGGCAAAUGUCCUGGUCCCCCUUUUUUGUAAUGCAAAUGUAGCCUCUGCUGUCAUCUUUUGAGAAUGUUCUUGGUUCCUAACAUGAGCUUUCUGAAAUGUAACACAGCUGAUUUGUUGGAUAAUGAAAUCCAAAUUGUUCCAGAAAAAGGUGCAAUUAUGCAGCGUGUAAUACACAAAUAAAUUGACUUAAUGCUACAUGAUAAUGGAAACUGUGCAAAACCCUCUACACAAGCACAAUAAAAUAAUAAAAAGUAAUAGAACAGGUAAUAGAUGUAAAAUAAAUGCUAAAAAAAGUAGUUCAAAUCAUUUUCAUACCAGUCAAAAGAUACCGAGAAGGGCGCAUCCAAUCACAAUAAAACACCAGAAUGAAACACUUCUAAAUAGUAAUAUAAAUUUUUGUGGACACUUCAUGUCCCAUGAUGUGGAAUUGACAUAUAGUUUGAUUUUCUCCUUCCUAAUGUAAGCCACAGUUUUACAGUCCUAGUGAAAACAUUUUAUUGCUGUGGAUGUAUUAGACAUGGUUCAUUUCCUUCCUCAGUAUGGCUUUAAUUUUCCACAUCCAUGGCUUGACAUAGACCCAAACACCAGAAGAUGGUUGUCUGCUAUAAACACUUGGGUGGUUUUUUUCCUUCUUUGAUUGCUUUACAAUUUAAUCUAUAGUUCAUUCCAUUAACCCUUUCCAUUUUAAUGUUAUCAAAGCCUUCCCAUCUCCUUAAUACAAAGAUAAACAUUUCCGCCACCCAAUUUUUUAUGCUUUAUGCCCAGAGGAUUAUGGUGAUGAAGAAAGGGUAAGUUUCUCUCCCUAGCUAACUUUUUUCCAGGGCAAUCAUUGGCAAAAUAAUGACAUGCAUUCCAGCGAUAGAGGUCCUCCCCCCUCCUCUUCUGUUUUUACAAUGCUUUCCUAAUUAUUCAUUCAUUUGGUUUGGUCAGGACCAGACUGAUUUGCAGCGCCAAGAAAGUGCCACUGUCAUUCUAACUUUUUCCUCACUCCCUGAUCUUUAGAGGGGUUAGGGGAGAAAAUCUUUCCCCGUCUGCAGUGUUGUCACAUCCGAUAUCCCGUUCCUUCCGGCAGAGAAAGUGUAUCUGGGAGGGUCACCGGAGCAGGCUGCGCCUCAGGGCUCCUCGCCUAAAGUACAAAAGACUCGACUCAACUCACGUUAGUCGUCUAGGUGGCCUAUCGGUGAUGACGGACUGCCAGCUCGGUCUGUGGGCUAGCCGUGAUAACUGCCUUGAAAUGCUAAGUGCUUAAUUAAGGACCUUUCAUAUCAGUUAUUGAGGGCUCCAUCUCCCAUAGCCCAGGGCAUUGUACUUUGCAGAGGACUCCCCAGAGCCACUGCCAACUUUAUUGCUGUGACAAGUUGGGCGGGGGGGGGGGGGAGAGAGGAAUAGAAAAGAAAGAGGGAAACAAGUGGUUUUAAAACCUCUUGCAGGCUCCCCAAAUCUAAAUACGAUGAGACAGCUGAACAGACAUUGUGGGUCUCAUUCUAAAUAUAUACUUUUGCAUGUUUGGGAAAAUAUUGCUUGCUAGUGUUAGGGGAAAGCUGAGAAGUCAUCUUUUUCUUUUUCUUUUUCUUUUUUUUUGACAAGCGGGGAUGAAUGCUUGCCUUAAGCUGCAGUGGCAGGCUGAAAUCUCCAUCCGUUCCCUUCCUCAGGAACAACAUUUGGUCCAGACUGAGAGGCUCGCUGUCUAUACCUAUGACACACGCACACAACGGACAGGUAUCCAGCAGGGCUGCUGCUAUUCAGCGGGGAGCAGAAGAAGCCACACUCAGGAGGGACUCGAUGUUUGCUUUGUUGCUACCUGGCAGGGAUAUAGGAGUAAUUUCUAUCAGUGCAGGGACCAGAGCCUGUUGCCACUUCUAAUCUGUUUUAGAACCAAUAGUAUAGUGAUAUGUACACUGAUGAGUAAAUGUAUGCUGGUAAGAAAAAGAGCAAGGUCCUAGACAUUAUUUUAAAGGGCAACAUUCAGGGCGGGGGGAAAUGUGUCCAAGACUGGGACUGUAGCACUUCAGAAUGGUGAUGAAGGAUAAUCAUUGAGGAAUGUCAAAAACUUUCAACCUGUGGGAAGCUAGCAUGUCAAAGAGAAGAGUUCUAGCGUUCCCCGUGAUGGACCAUUAGUUUUCUUUGUGGAGAGAGUUUUUUUUAUGUGGGGGCACAUACAAAUAUGAUAUUCUGCACAUAGAUUCUGAUGGGACAGUCCUGGGAGAGCUCUACCAUGAGCCUUUGCUGAACAUAUAGAUUGGCUGUAAGAAGAGCAGUGGAAACAAUACAUUCACAUCAGGUCCAGAUUAUGACAUGCUCAUGUCAAGAUUAGAAGGCGCCAAAACAUUACAAUAUGGGUCAGAACUUAGUCCCGCCCUGGCACAUCACUCACCCCCCCACUCACUGCGCUGCUCAUGAUUAUAGCAUCGUUCAUCUUAAGAGGCGAACACUAACUGUAACUGUGAUGGUGGCCAUUGAUCUAAACUGGACUCUGGUCAGUUAUAAUUUCAAUAUAACUUAGUUAUUUCUGCACAGAUUUAUAAACUCAAUUUGAUAAAUAAUUGUGUAGCCAUAUAAAUAUAUUUUUGUCUUAUCAGAAUGAUCAUGUCUCUUUUGAAGUCUUCCCCCCCCCCUUUCUCCUUUAUUUUUCAGUGGAGUAUGUAAAACUUGAAAUUUAGUCAUUUGUUGGUGAUCAGAGACCCUUCAUAAUGCAAGGCAUGUACAUGAUGGGUCACAAAACACAGUAACUAUAGUCAUAUUCAUAAGAUCACAUACAGCACAAUACUAUGCAUGUUCAAUGUGUUCAAUGGCACUUGCUCCCUACUAACUGCAAUGAUUGUGACUGCAGACCCAGUAUGGUUUUGUUACUAUUGAAAUCAUCACCACAAAGUUCCUUUUUGGCCACAAAUUGGGUAAAGAGACUUCCUGGGACUGUCCUGGCACAAAUACAAGUGGGGCAACGCAUAUUUGACUGCUUCAUGUCAAAUCCGCCCUGAAUUCAGGAAAUUAUCAUGUUUGUGUAAAGGCUUGGUUAGAACCCUCCCUUCCCUCUGUAAUAGCAUUUUUUCUAAACUGAAAAGUCCCUGCUCAUUUUAGUUUGUGUAUAUUUUAGUUACAGAUGAUAAAGCUGAGUUCCUGAAGUCAGAGUCAGUAUUAAUUAACCAUUCAGCUAGAGUAUAACAGAACUGUGAAAUCACUCACAUUUAAAAUUUCAGCAGGCAAAACUUGACAGUGUUCCCUGUUAUAUAUUCAAAAGAUGCAUUUUUUUUCCUUAGAAAUCUUUCUCCCUUAUUAAUCAACCCAUUUUGUGCUCUUUGAUGUACAUGUAGCUUUGCGCCUGUCUGGUUGUUGACUGAUGUAUAAGCUAUUGAUGCCUACAAGGUAUUGAUAUGUAGGCAGUUUUUAAACCAAAUAUGCAGAUAGCAUUAAAAGAAAGAUGUUAUUUAAGCUGCUAUUUCUGUUUUUAAUAAGUAUUCUCUUCUAGCACUGGUUGUGCAGCUUUGUACCGUGAUCAGUUGCAUAUUUGUCAGCAGUAAGGUACUUUUAUAUUCUGCAUUCUGUACUUAAAGUAUUAUGCAGAAUAAACAGCACAUAGUACGUUGAA